GUUUUCAUAGUGUAAACUAACACAUUGCAUUUUCAUUGCUAAGCUGAAAUCUUCUUUUCUGAAAACU
rnacentral:tRNA from 1 species